GAGUGUAGCAACACUGUUGCUGAUAAACAUUUGUCAGAAUUUCUCAGAAAGCGGGUGCGAGCCGCCAAGUUUGAAUUGUUUUACUGCUGGUUUACUCAGCGAUUUCUACUCAGCAUUGUUCCAUCGGUAUACUACGUGCAAAAGAAGCCUCCAUUUGUGUUAUGGUUGCUUUGUCUAUUGAAGUCUGUGGGACUUACUGAUAGCUGAGCAAGAAGUGAGAAUUGCAUAAAAAUAUGGUGCUUUACUGUAGGAGAUAGCCUCUCUGCCAUAAUCAUUAAUAGUAGUACAUUAAAAACUUUAGCAGUACAGAACAAAUGACUUUAUGAACAGAAUCAUUAGAUACCUUUAAUUAAUUUAACAUAUACCAUUGCAUGCCUUUUAGUGCCC